GCCUUUAUAGCUCAGUGGUAGAGCGUUGCACUUGUAAGAGCGUUUUCACAGCGCUUGAAUAGCUUCAAGAUCAUGCAAAGGUCCGUCGUUCAAUCCGGCGUGGAGGCA